GGGAGACUGUUCACAUGAAUGGAAUUCUAAAUGGAGAUUCUGUUUCUAAACUAGAGCUAACUCUGACUGUUCCUGAUUGUGUCUGCAGACUAAGGAGUGCCUCGUUGUCAUUAAGUGCGUGGCUUCACACUAGGAUCACUCAUUCGGAUGAUGAUAAAAGGCCUGUGAAGCUAAAUGAAACUAGAAGCUAAAACUGUUAUCCAGAGCUAGUGACACUGGACUCCUCUCCAGGGAACCAACUGCAUCUAUUUAAAAUAAACUUUCAGGUAGAAGCCCUAAUGUGCAAUGUGAUGGUAUUUGAAGAUGGAGCUUUGGGGAAGUAAUUUAGCUCAGAUGAGACCAUGAAGGUGAAUUCUCAAGAUGACAUGAGUGUUCUUACUAGAGGAAGAGAGACCAGAGCUCUCUCUUUCUCUACCAUG